rnacentral:rRNA from 1 species
CUCGGCGGCAAUAGCGCGGUGGUCCCACCUGACCCCAUGCCGAACUCAGAAGUGAAACGCCGUAGCGCCGAUGGUAGUGUGGGGUCUCCCCAUGCGAGAGUAGGACACUGCCGCAU